AUUCUGGCUCAGGAUGAACGCUAGCUACAGGCUUAACACAUGCAAGUCGAGGGGAAACGAUAGAGAAAGCUUGCUUUUUCUAGGCGUCGACCGGCGCACGGGUGAGUAACGCGUAUCCAACCUGCCCAUCACUUGGGGAUAACCUUGCGAAAGUAAGACUAAUACCCAAUGACGUCCAUAGAAGACAUCUGAAAUGGAUUAAAGAUUUAUCGGUGAUGGAUGGGGAUGCGUCUGAUUAGCUUGUUGGCGGGGUAACGGCCCACCAAGGCGACGAUCAGUAGGGGUUCUGAGAGGAAGGUCCCCCACAUUGGAACUGAGACACGGUCCAAACUCCUACGGGAGGCAGCAGUGAGGAAUAUUGGUCAAUGGGCGAGAGCCUGAACCAGCCAAGUAGCGUGCAGGAUGACGGCCCUAUGGGUUGUAAACUGCUUUUAUAAGGGAAUAAAGUGAGAGUCGUGACUCUUUUUGCAUGUACCUUAUGAAUAAGGACCGGCUAAUUCCGUGCCAGCAGCCGCGGUAAUACGGAAGGUCCGGGCGUUAUCCGGAUUUAUUGGGUUUAAAGGGAGCGUAGGCCGGAGAUUAAGCGUGUUGUGAAAUGUAGACGCUCAACGUCUGCACUGCAGCGCGAACUGGUUUCCUUGAGUACGCACAAAGUGGGCGGAAUUCGUGGUGUAGCGGUGAAAUGCUUAGAUAUCACGAAGAACUCCGAUUGCGAAGGCAGCUCACUGGAGCGCAACUGACGCUGAAGCUCGAAAGUGCGGGUAUCGAACAGGAUUAGAUACCCUGGUAGUCCGCACGGUAAACGAUGGAUGCCCGCUGUUGGUCUGAAUAGGUCAGCGGCCAAGCGA
rnacentral:rRNA from 1 species